rnacentral:rRNA from 1 species
GACGAACCGUGCAAACGUUGUUCGGAAUCACUGGGCUUAAAGGGCGCGUAGGCGGGCAAGCAAGUCGAAGGUGAAAUCCCACGGCUCAACCGUGGAAGUGCCCCCGAUACUGCUUGUCUUGAGGGAGAUAGGGGCGUGCGGAACUUCCGGUGGAGCGGUGAAAUGCGUAGAUAUCAAGAGGAACACCUGAGGUGAAGACGGGUUGCUGGGCCAACACUGACGCUGAGGCGCGAAAGCCAGGGGAGUAAACGGG